GACGAACGCUGGCGGCGUGCUUAACACAUGCAAGUCGAGCGGUAAGGCCCUUUCGGGGGUACACGAGCGGCGAACGGGUGAGUAACACGUGGGUGACCUGCCCUUAGCUCUGGGAUAAGCCUGGGAAACUGGGUCUAAUACCGGAUAUGACUCCAUGACGCAUGUUGUGGGGUGGAAAGCCUUGUGCGGCUGGAGAUGGGCCCGCGGCCUAUCAGCUUGUUGGUGGGGUGAUGGCCACCAAGGCGACGACGGGUAGCCGGCCUGAGAGGGCGACCGGCCACACUGGGACUGAGACACGGCCCAGACUCCUACGGGAGGCAGCAGUGGGGAAUCUUGCGCAAUGGGCGAAAGCCUGACGCAGCGACGCCGCGUGAGGGAUGACGGCCU
rnacentral:rRNA from 1 species